AAAAAGGAUCUCCGUAGGUGACCUGCGGAGGGUCAUU
rnacentral:rRNA from 1 species